rnacentral:rRNA from 1 species
GACGAACGCUGGCGGCGUGCUUAACACAUGCAAGUCGAACGGAGAGGCCCUGCUUUUGUGGGGUGCUCGAGUGGCGAACGGGUGAGUAACACGUGAGUAACCUGCCCUUGACUUUGGGAUAACUUCAGGAAACUGGGGCUAAUACCGGAUAGGAGCUCCUGCUGCAUGGUGGGGGUUGGAAAGUUUCGGCGGUUGGGGAUGGACUCGCGGCUUAUCAGCUUGUUGGUGGGGUAGUGGCUUACCAAGGCUUUGACGGGUAGCCGGCCUGAGAGGGUGACCGGCCACAUUGGGACUGAGAUACGGCCCAGACUCCUACGGGAGGCAGCAGUGGGGAAUAUUGCACAAUGGGCGGAAGCCUGAUGCAGCAACGCCGCGUGCAGGAUGACGGCCUUCGGGUUGUAAACCGCUUUCGCCUGUGACGAAGCGUGAGUGACGGUAAUGGGUAAAGAAGCACCGGCUAACUACGUG